rnacentral:rRNA from 1 species
UGGGGAAUAUUGCACAAUGGGGGAAACCCUGAUGCAGCGACGCCGCGUGGAGGAAGAAGGCCUUCGGGUUGUAAACUCCUGUCUUCGGGGACGAUAAUGACGGUACCCGAGGAGGAAGCCACGGCUAACUACGUGCCAGCAGCCGCGGUAAAACGUAGGUGGCAAGCGUUGUCCGGAAUUACUGGGUGUAAAGGGAGCGCAGGCGGAUUGGCAAGUUGGAAGUGAAAACUAUGGGCUCAACCCAUAACGUGCUUUCAAAACUGCCAGUCUUGAGUGGUGUAGAGGUAGGCGGAAUUCCCGGUGUAGCGGUGGAAUGCGUAGAUAUCGGGAGGAACACCAGUGGCGAAGGCGGCCUACUGGGCACUAACUGACGCUGAGGCUCGAAAGCAUGGGUAGCAAACAGG